rnacentral:rRNA from 1 species
CUCUUUUUGAAUUUAAUUUAAAGUUGGGCCUGCCCACUGAAUUUUGAAGGGCCGCAGUAUUUUGACUGUGCAAAGGUAGCAUAAUCAUUAGUUUUUUAAUUGAAAGCUUGUAUGAAUGGUUUGAUGAGAAAAUAUCUGUUUCAAUUUUAAUUUAUAGAACUUUAUUUUUAAGUAAAAAAGCUUAAAUUUUAUUUAAAGACGAGAAGACCCUAUAGAGUUUAACUAAAUUUAUUAUAUUAAUAUUUAGAAUUUUUAGAUUUAUAUUUUAAAUAAGUUUUGUUGGGGUGACAGAAAAAUUAAAGAAACUUUUUUUUUAUUUAAACAAUAAUAAUUGAAAAUUUGAUCCAUAAUAAUGAUUAAAAGAUUAAAUNACCUUAGGGAUAACAGCGUAAUCUUUUUUGAGAGUUCUUAUUAAAAAAAGGGGUUGCGACCUCGAUGUUGGAUUAAAAUUAAUUUUUGGUGCAGAAGCUAAAAAAUUAGGUCUGUUCGACCUUUGAAAUUUUACAUGAUCUGAGUUUAAACCGGUGUGAGCCAGGUUCAUUUCUAUCUUAAAUUUAUUUAAUAUUUUAGUACGAAAGGAUCAGAUAUUAUAUUAAUAAUAAUAAUUAAAGAAUUUUAUUUUGGCAGAUUAGUGCGAAGGAUUUAGAAUCUUUUUAUGUAUAUAUUUACAAAUAAAAAUUGAUUUAACAUUAAUUUUAUUAAAUUUUUUUAUUUUAAUUAUUGGAGUUUUAGU